CAGGAUGACUCCCGACCCACUGAACUAUACCACCAGUCAGGGCAAGGCAGUAUCUUCUCACUAUCAUUCCACAAAGAUUCGCCGACUGCUUAGUCCGUGCCUGCUACUGUGCUGAUGCUUGGGAGAGAGUCAGGAAUGAGGGUCAGUCCUGCCCUCAGGGGUCCUGGUACAGGGGAUACGCUACAUCACCUGUGA